rnacentral:rRNA from 1 species
AACGAACGCUGGCGGCAGGCUUAACACAUGCAAGUCGAGCGCCCCGCAAGGGGAGCGGCCGACGGGUGAGUAACGCGUGGGAACGUACCUUUUGGUUCGGAACAACUCCGGGAAACUGGAGCUAAUACCGGAUAAGCCCUAACGGGGAAAGAUUUAUCGCCGAAAGAUCGGCCCGCGUCUGAUUAGCUAGUUGGUGGGGUAACGGCUCACCAAGGCGACGAUCAGUAGCUGGUCUGAGAGGAGGAGCAGCCACACUGGGAAUGAGACACGGGCCAGACUCCUACGGGAGGGAGGAGGGGGGAGUAUUGGAGAAUGGGUGAGUGUCUGAUACAGCUAUGCGGGGUGAGUGAGGAAGGCGUUAGGGUUGUAAAGCUCUGUUAUAAGGGACGGUAAUGACGGGAACGGAGAAAGAAGACCCGGCUAGAUUCGUG